UUAAAAUUAAACAUUUUUUGUUUUAGUGCAAUUUAAACUAUGAUUCGAUUAGCAGUUAUACUAGCGACGUGUAAUGUUUUAUACUAAUCAAGAAUUUCGAAAAGAUAAUUUUGUCGCAGUUUAAGUUCGGAGACAAUGAUGUCGCCUUUGUGUUUAUCGAUUUCAACUUCAGUUUGUUCAAAAACGAGAUUUCAUCAAGAGACUACCAUAAAUUGUGCGCCAAGUGCACUGCUACACCCGGAGCUGGAAAAAUGAUUGGCGUUUACAACCGUUUACAGAUGGAGACGAAAGGAGUGGACAACCUGACGAACCUGAUGCGGAAUAUCCCGAACCAUCAUAGCCAUCAGGAUUCGGAACGCUCACAUAUGCCACUCACAAACAUCGGAUAAACCCUUAUGUGAGAACUUCCGUACAUCUGGAUGAAACUUGCUAGCAGCUGCUGAUUGCUGUGCGUGGUUCUUUACAUGAUGAAGUUCCCCAGAGCUCUUUGGUCCUAAUUAACAUUCUGCUUUUGUGGUUCCGCUGUACACUUCAACAGGUUUCGUCGACAAAGAGGAACGCAGGAGCCCGAGAAAAUUAGUAAGAAUUUAUUAUAUAAUUUCCGACAAAUAAAGUUACGGCACUAAUGCGUUUUAAAUUUGUUUUUGUUUUGCUCGCAAAAUAAACAAAAGCUGAAAAAAUACAAUCAUUUCUAACUAAAUCCCAACUAAACCAACUUAAAUAAACUCACGUUAUACUAGCAUUCUGAUAAAUCAAAGUUAUACUAGACGCGUAUAAGUUGUAUAUAUACGGAGCCUGGGGUCAACCAGGCGAAAUGGAAAUAGUGUGGGAUUUAUACUAUUUAGUUUAGAUUUUUCUCUGAGUGU